CUCGGAUGUGUUUCUUGUAGUAAGAGGUUCCAGGAACAUGUGCAGUCUGUAGCUGCUGACUCAGUGCAAAAGCCCUUCUUCCCUCCCUCUGCCGUGCCAGGUCCUGGAGUUCUGCCUUCCUUCCUGGAGCAAGCCCUCUGCUUCUGCCUGAGAACAGAGUUUUCUACCCUGAAGCUCUAUGUUCUAUAGAUGGAGUUGACAACUGAGGCCUGCAAGCCAAAUUCAGCUCACUCUUUCUUUUUGUAAAUAAAGUUUUAUUGGAACGCAGCCAUGUUCAUUUGUUUA